rnacentral:rRNA from 1 species
GUGGGGAAUAUUGGACAAUGGGGGGAACCCUGAUCCAGCCAUGCCGCGUGUGUGAAGAAGGCCUUUUGGUUGUAAAGCACUUUAAGCGAGGAGGAGGCUACCGAGAUUAAUACUCUUGGAUAGUGGACGUUACUCGCAGAAUAAGCACCGGCUAACUCUGUGCCAGCAGCCGCGGUAAUACAGAGGGUGCAAGCGUUAAUCGGAUUUACUGGGCGUAAAGCGCGCGUAGGUGGCCAAUUAAGUCAAAUGUGAAAUCCCCGAGCUUAACUUGGGAAUUGCAGUCGAUACUGGUUGGCUAGAGUAUGGGAGAGGAUGGUAGAAUUCCAGGUGGAGCGGUGAAAUGCGUAGAGAUCUGGAGGAAUACCGAUGGCGAAGGCAGCCAUCUGGCCUAAUACUGACACUGAGGUGCGAAAGCAUGGGGAGCAAACAGGAUUAGAAACCCUUGUAGUCC